rnacentral:rRNA from 1 species
UACAGAGGUCCCAAGCGUUGUUCGGAUUCAUUGGGCGUAAAGGGUGCGUAGGUGGCGCGCUAAGUCGGGUGUGAAAUUUCGGAGCUUAACUCCGAAACUGCAUUCGAUACUGGUGUGCUUGAGGACUGGAGAGGAGACUGGAAUUCAUGGUGUAGCAGUGAAAUGCGUAGAGAUCAUGAGGAAGACCAGUGGCGAAGGCGGGUCUCUGGACAGUUCCUGACACUGAGGCACGAAGGCCAGGGGAGCAAAUGGG